UACGAGGGGGGCAAAUGUUGUUCGGAAUCACUGGGCGUAAAGGGAGCGUAGGCGGGCCAGUAAGCGUCUUGUGAAAUCCCCCGGCUCAACCGGGGAACUGCGGGGCGAACUGCUGGUCUUGAGGAAGCUAGAGGCCGGUAGAACGAUUGGUGGAGCGGUGGAAUGCGUAGAUAUCAAUCGGAAUGCCGAAAGUGAAGACAGCCGGCUGGGGCUUUCCUGACGCUGAGGCACGAAAGCGUGGGGAGCAAACGGG
rnacentral:rRNA from 1 species